GUUCAAGUUUUUUAGGGCACACGGUGGAUGCCUUGGCAUCAGGAGCCGAUGAAGGACGUGGGAGCCUGCGAUAUGCCCCGGGGAGUUGGCAACCGAGCGUUGAUCCGGGGGUUUCCGAAUGGGGUAACCCAGCACUCGUCAUGGGGUGUUGCCGCCGUCUGAAUUGAUAGGGCGGUUGGUGGUAACGCGGGGAAGUGAAACAUCUCAGUACCCGCAGGAAGAGAAAACAACAGUGAUUCCCUGAGUAGUGGUGAGCGAAAGGGGAUGGGGCUAAAC
rnacentral:rRNA from 1 species